rnacentral:pre_miRNA from 1 species
GGGGGGAGCGCAGGAUCCUGGGCUCUGUUCCCCGGCGCCCUGGGCUCUGGGCCUGGGCUGCUGGAAUCGCGCUCCUGCUCUGCGCAGCUCCCU